rnacentral:rRNA from 1 species
UACGGGGGGGGUAAGCGUUGUUCGGAAUUACUGGGCGUAAAGGGUUCGUAGGUGGCCUACUAAGUCAGACGUGAAAUCCCUCAGCUCAACUGGGGAACUGCGUCUGAGACUGGAAGGCUUGAGUGCAGGAGAGGAACGCGGAAUUCCAGGUGUAGCGGUGAAAUGCGUAGAUAUCUGGAGGAACACCGGUGGCGAAGGCGGCGUUCUGGACUGUUACUGACACUGAGGAACGAAAGCCAGGGGAGCAAACGGG